AUUGAACGCUGGCGGCAGGCUUAACACAUGCAAGUCGAGCGGAGAUGAGGUGCUUGCACCUUAUCUUAGCGGCGGACGGGUGAGUAAUGCUUAGGAAUCUGCCUAUUAGUGGGGGACAACAUUCCGAAAGGAAUGCUAAUACCGCAUACGUCCUACGGGAGAAAGCAGGGGAUCUUCGGACCUUGCGCUAAUAGAUGAGCCUAAGUCGGAUUAGCGAGUUGGUGGGGUAAAGGCCUACCAAGGCGACGAUCUGUAGCGGGUCUGAGAGGAUGAUCCGCCACACUGGGACUGAGACACGGCCCAGACUCCUACGGGAGGCAGCAGUGGGGAAUAUUGGACAAGGGGGGAACCCUGAUCCAGCCAUGCCGCGUGUGUGAAGAAGGCCUUAUGGUUGUAAAGCACUUUAAGCGAGGAGGAGGCUACUGAGACUAAUACUCUUGGAUAGUGGACGUUACUCGCAGAAUAAGCACCGGCUAACUCUGUGCCAGCAGCCGCGGUAAUAC
rnacentral:rRNA from 1 species